rnacentral:lncRNA from 1 species
CCGAGGUGCGGAUCUGCCUGGCCCCGGAUCUGGGCUCGCCACCCUCUCUCCCCCGCGUUUGCUCUCGCUCGAUUCGCCGCAAUGCCUGCCGUGCUGUUCCCUCGCUCGCGCCUUGAGCUCGAGUGCUCGCUCUGAGGUGGUUUUGCUUCGCUCGGGUUCAGGGAGCAAUGCCGCCCGGUCGGAGGAAUCUGAGUUUUUCGGAUAGACAAAUCUGUGCUAGCGUUUAUGGCUUGUUUUUUUUCUGCUUGUGGG